UUAGCAUGUUCAACACAACAGGAAGUGUCAAGGUUGCCAUAGAGAACAAAGGCACCAGAACACACAACAUUCAGACAGGUUUUAUGGUAAUGACUGGCGUUCUCACGCUCUAUACACUUCAAGACUCCCAUCAGCUGAACAUCAACUGUACGCUGUUAGAUUUGGCCAAAUCAUGGGCUGCAACACAAGCAGAGGCACCACAGUGGUGGACCCGUCUGAAAAGCCAGAGGAAAGGCCGAAGACGGCCACUUCCACCAAGGAGGUGUCUGCAGAAGAAAUGAAUGGAACAACAGAGAAAGAGGAGGAAGAAAAAACAGAGAGUUCCAGCUGAGCGGCUCCUUUGCCCCAUCGGAAACUCUUCUCCAGUGUGUACAGAUUGGCCUGUCCCAGGGUGAAGGAGGGCCUGUCAGCAGGAGGAGGUGAUGCUGCACUACUGUCCAUCAACCUCUGGUGUCAUCUGGGCCAGCCACACACGCUCAAAAACGCACACUUUCGAAGAAAUCCAACUCUUCUGUUCGUAUUUCAGAAACUAUUUUGUGAUAAAUAAACUGAUUCGAAUCCUGA